UCGGGACCUAACGCGAGGCCGAAAGGCGUAGUGGAUGGAAAGCAGGCGAAAGAUUCCUGCACCCGUAUAUGGAGCGAAGGAGUGACGGAGACGGAUAGUGUGACCCUCUUAAUGGAUUGAGGGCGAAGCGAAGCGGCUGGUUACCAGGCAAAUCCGGUAACCAUAAGGCUAGAGCGUGAUAGGUAAGCGAAAUCUUAGGAAAGUAGCGAAGCACAUGAUGACGGCUUCCAGGAAAAGCUUCUGGCAAUGCAUAUGCGGCCCGUACCAAAACCGACACAGGUGGGCAGGGAGAGAAUCCCGAGGUGAGCGAGAGAACUGUUGCCAAGGAACUCGGCAAAAUGACUCCGUAAGUUAGCGAGAAGGAGUGCUUAAGCAAUUAAGCCGCAGUGAAGAGGCCCAAGCGACUGUUUAACUAAAACACAGCUCUCUGCGAAGUCGCAAGACGAAGUAUAGGGGGUGACACCUGCCCGGUGCUGGAAGGUUAAGAGGAUCUGUUAAGAGCGAUCUGAAGCAGUGAUCCGAAGCCCCAGUGAACGGCGGCCGUAACUAUAACGGUCCUAAGGUAGCGAAAUUCCUUGUCAGGUAAGUUCUGACCCGCACGAAAGGUGUAACGAUUUGGGCGCUGUCUCGGCAGCAGACUCGGUGAAAUCUUAGUACCUGUGAAAAUGCAGGUUACCCGCAACUAGACGGAAAGACCCCAUGGAGCUUUACUGCAGCCUGAUAUUGAAUUCUGGUCAUACAUGUACAGGAUAGGUGGGAGACAAAGAGACGUGCACGCCAGUGUACGAGGAGUCGACGUUGGGAUACCACUCUUGUGUGACCGGGGUUCUAACCUGGUAUCGAGAACAGGUACGGGGAGAGUGUCAGGUGGGCAGUUUGACUGGGGCGGUCGCCUCCCAAAGAGUAACGGAGGCGCCCAAAGGUACGCUCAGAUUGGAUGGAAACCAAUCGUCGAGUGCAAUUGCAGAAGCGUGCUUGACUGUGAGACUUACAAGUCGAACAGGGACGAAAGUCGGGAAUAGUGAUCCGGCGGUGCCGAAUGGAAGGGCCGUCGCUCAAC
rnacentral:rRNA from 1 species